AGCCUUAGGGUGUUACACGUGAGAUUGCAAAUCUCGAGAGGCAGGCUAAUCCCUGCUGGGGCUU
rnacentral:tRNA from 1 species